rnacentral:misc_RNA from 1 species
GGCUCGACAUUUUCAUAAACAGAGAAUCCAGGUGAUACGGCAAUUUACAUCAGUGGGUAGUGCUGUUCUGAGAACACAGAUUCAUUCUUGGGCUCGUCAAAGGUUGACCCAGGAGGUCCUCCAAGGGCUAAAGCUGGCUCAUCAUCCACCCAAUCCAAUUGGCUCAAACAAAACCUAUCACUGAUGGUGCAUCAGAAAAGGCC